CGAACGCUGGCGGCAGGCUUAACACAUGCAAGUCGAGCGGGCAUCCUUGUGGUGUCAGCGGCAGACGGGUGAGUAACGCGUGGGAACGUGCCCUUCGGUUCGGAAUAACUCAGGGAAACUUGAGCUAAUACCGGAUACGCCCUUUAGGGGAAAGGUUUACUGCCGAAGGAUCGGCCCGCGUCUGAUUAGCUAGUUGGUGAGGUUAUGGCUCACCAAGGCAACGAUCAGUAGCUGGUCUGAGAGGAUGAUCAGCCACACUGGGACUGAGACACGGCCCAGACUCCUACGGGAGGCAGCAGUGGGGAAUAUUGGACAAUGGGGGCAACCCUGAUCCAGCCAUGCCGCGUGAGUGAUGACGGCCUUAGGGUUGUAAAGCUCUUUUCUCCGGGACGAUAAUGACGGUACCGGAGGAAUAAGCCCCGGCUAACUUCGUG
rnacentral:rRNA from 1 species